GAUGAACGCUGGCGGCGUGCCUAAUACAUGCAAGUCGAGCGAACAGACGAGAGUGCUUGCACUCUCUGACGUUAGCGGCGGACGGGUGAGUAACACGUGGGUAACCUACCUAUAAGACUGGGAUAACUUCGGGAAACCGGAGCUAAUACCGGAUAAUAUUUAGCUUCGCAUGAAGCAAUAGUGAAAGACGGUUCUGCUGUCACUUAUAGAUGGACCCGCGGUGUAUUAGCUAGUUGGUGAGGUAACGGCUCACCAAGGCAACGAUACAUAGCCGACCUGAGCGGACGAUCGGCCACACGGGAACGGAGACAAGGUGCAGACUCCUAAGGGAGGCAGAAGUGGGGAAUAUUGGACAAUGGGCGAAAGCGUGAUGCAGCUAUACCGCGUGGGUGAAGAAGGCGGUGGGGUUGUAAAGUCCUUUUGUUGGGAAAGAAAAGCAGCAGGUUAAUAACCCGAUGUUCUGACGGAACCCAACGAAUAAGCACGGGGUAAAUUCGGG
rnacentral:rRNA from 1 species